rnacentral:lncRNA from 1 species
GUCCGCAUCAACCAAAACUGACCAUAUUUGCACUUUAUUAUGUACAUGAUGUCAAUCUUAAUAGCCGCAAAGUAAAUCACCUAUAUUUUUAUAUCAGGAUGGAUGGUUUAAUAUAAAUGAAAGCAAUAUUGGAAAAUAAAAUUAUGCUCACAUCAGUUUAUAGUGCCAGCAUGUCCUCUUUUUCAUCAAAAUUUUGAAUCGUAAACUAAUUU